rfam:Schistosoma curassoni strain Dakar, Senegal genome assembly, scaffold: SCTD_contig0009236
AUUCAGCUGAAAAGUCCAAAAUAGGACGAAACGCAUGUCGUGAAU